CCUACGGGAGGCAGCAGUGGGGAAUCUUAGACAAUGGGGGCAACCCUGAUCUAGCCAUGCCGCGUGAGUGAUGAAGGCCUUAGGGUCGUAAAGCUCUUUCGCCUGUGAUGAUAAUGACAGUAGCAGGUAAAGAAACCCCGGCUAACUCCGUGCCAGCAGCCGCGGUAAUACGGAGGGGGUUAGCGUUGUUCGGAAUUACUGGGCGUAAAGCGCGCGUAGGCGGAUUAGAAAGUUGGGGGUGAAAUCCCGGGGCUCAACCCCGGAACUGCCUCCAAAACUGCUAGUCUAGAGUUCGAGAGAGGUGAGUGGAAUUCCGAGUGUAGAGGUGAAAUUCGUAGAUAUUCGGAGGAACACCAGUGGCGAAGGCGGCUCACUGGCUCGAUACUGACGCUGAGGUGCGAAAGUGUGGGGAGCAAACAGGAUUAGAUACCCUGGUAGUCCACACCGUAAACGAUGAAUGCCAGUCGUCGGAUAGUAUACUAUUCGGUGACACACCUAACGGAUUAAGCAUUCCGCCUGGAAAGUAUGCGCGCAAGCGUGAAACUCAAAGGAAUUGACGG
rnacentral:rRNA from 1 species